GACGAACGCUGGCGGCGUGCUUAACACAUGCAAGUCGAACGGUGAAGGGACCGGUUUUUGCUGGUUCUGGAUGAGUGGCGAACGGGUGAGUAACACGUGAGUAACCUUCCCCCUUCUUCUGGAUAACCGCAUGAAAGUGUGGCUAAUACGGGAUAUUCUUCGCCUGCUGCAUGGUUGGUGUGGGAAAGAUAUUGUUUCGUGGGGGGGUGGGCUCGCGGCCUAUCAGCUUGUUGGUGGGGUGAUGGCCUACCAAGGCGGUGGCGGGUAGCCGGCCUGAGAGGGUGGACGGUCGCACUGGGACGGAGACACGGCCCAGACGAGUACGGGAGGCAGCAGUGGGGAAUAUUGCACAAUGGGCGCAAGCCUGAUGCAGCGACGCCGCGUGAGGGAUGGAGGCCUUCGGGUUGUAAACCUCUUUCGCCAGUGAAGGAGGCCUGUCCCUUUUGUGGGUGGGUUGACGGUAGCUGGAUAAGAAGCGCCGGCUAACUACGU
rnacentral:rRNA from 1 species